ncrna:unclassified sequences DTF3800-VIII RNA
AACGUCCUGCCUUUCCCGAAGCCUUGCGUUUAUACGUGGGGUAUUGAUGUAGAGAAGGUGGGACGUU